rnacentral:rRNA from 1 species
AACAGGAUUAGAUACCCUGGUAGUCCACGCCGUAAACGAUGUCGACCAGCCGUUGGGUGCCUAGCGCACUUUGUGGCGAAGUUAACGCGAUAAGUCGACCGCCUGGGGAGUACGGCCGCAAGGUUAAAACUCAAAUGAAUUGACGGGGGCCCGCACAAGCGGUGGAGCAUGUGGUUUAAUUCGAUGCAACGCGAAGAACCUUACCUACUCUUGACAUCCUGCGAAUUUGGUAGAGAUACCUUAGUGCCUUCGGGAACGCAGAGACAGGUGCUGCAUGGCUGUCGUCAGCUCGUGUUGUGAAAUGUUGGGUUAAGUCCCGUAACGAGCGCAACCCUUGUCCUUAUUUGCCAGCGCGUAAUGGCGGGAACUCUAAGGAGACUGCCGGUGACAAACCGGAGGAAGGUGGGGACGACGUCAAGUCAUCAUGGCCCUUACGAGUAGGGCUACACACGUGCUACAAUGGUCGGUACAAAGGGUUGCCAACUCGCGAGAGUGAGCCAAUCCCGAAAAGCCGAUCUCAGUCCGGAUCGGAGUCUGCAACUCGACUCCGUGAAGUCGGAAUCGCUAGUAAGCGUGGAUCAGAAUGCCACGGUGAAUACGUUCCCCGGCCUUGUACACACCGCCCGUCACACCAUGGGAGUGGACUGCACCAGAAGUGGUUAGCCUAACGCAAGAGGGCGAUCACCACGGUGUGGUUCAUGACUGGGGUGAAGUCGUAACAAGGUAACC